AGCGAACGCUGGCGGCAGGCCUAACACAUGCAAGUCGAACGGAUCCUUCGGGAUUAGUGGCGGACGGGUGAGUAACACGUGGGAACGUGCCCUUUGGUUCGGAACAACUCAGGGAAACUUGAGCUAAUACCGGAUGCGCCCUUCGGGGGAAAGAUUUAUCGCCAUUGGAGCGGCCCGCGUCUGAUUAGCUAGUUGGUGAGGUAAAGGCUCACCAAGGCGACGAUCAGUAGCUGGUCUGAGAGGAUGAUCAGCCACAUUGGGACUGAGACACGGCCCAAACUCCUACGGGAGGCAGCAGUGGGGAAUCUUGCGCAAUGGGCGAAAGCCUGACGCAGCCAUGCCGCGUGAAUGAUGAAGGUCUUAGGAUUGUAAAAUUCUUUCACCGGGGACGAUAAUGACGGUACCCGGAGAAGAAGCCCCGGCUAACUACGUGCCAGCCGCCGCGGUAAGAC
rnacentral:rRNA from 1 species